GACGAACGCUGGCGGCGUGCUUAACACAUGCAAGUCGAACGGAAAGGCCCUGCGUUUGUGGUGUGCUCGAGUGGCGAACGGGUGAGUAACACGUGAGUAUCCUGCCCUUGACUUUGGGAUAACUUCAGGAAACUGGGGCUAAUACCGGAUAGGAUCUCCUGCUGCAUUGUGGGGGGUGGAAAGUUUCGGCCGGUGGGGCUGGACGCGCGGCUUAUGAGCUUGUUGGUGGGGUAGUGGCUGACCAAGUGUGUGACGGGUAGGCCGCCUGAGAGGGUGACCGGGCUCCUUGGUCCUACGAGAGGGCCCAGACUCCAAUGGUAGGCAGCGGGGGCGAAUAUUGCACAAUGGUCGCAAGUCUGUGGAAGCAGCGCCGCGUGCGGGAAGCCGUCCUUCGGGGUAUAAACCGCUUUCGCCUGUGACGAAGCUUGAGUGACGGUACUGGAUGAAGAAGCACCGGCUAACUACGUG
rnacentral:rRNA from 1 species